AUUGAACGCUGGCGGCAUGCCUUACACAUGCAAGUGAACGGCAGCACGGGAGCAAUCCUGGUGGCGAGUGGCGAACGGGUGAGUAAUAUAUCGGAACGUGCCCAGGUCGUGGGGGAUAACGUAGCGAAAGCUACGCUAAUACCGCAUACGAUCUACGGAUGAAAGCGGGGGAUCGCAAGACCUCGCGCGAUUGGAGCGGCCGAUAUCAGAUUAGCUGGUUGGUGGGGUAAAAGCUCACCAAGGCGACGAUCUGUAGCUGGUCUGAGAGGACGACCAGCCACACUGGAACUGAGACACGGUCCAGACUCCUACGGGAGGCAGCAGUGGGGAAUUUUGGACAAUGGGCGCAAGCCUGAUCCAGCAAUGCCGCGUGCAGGAUGAAGGCCUUCGGGUUGUAAACUGCUUUUGUACGGAACGAAACGGUGAGCUCUAAUAAAGCUUGCUAAUGACGGUACCGUAAGAAUAAGCACCGGCUAACUACGUG
rnacentral:rRNA from 1 species